rnacentral:RNase_P_RNA from 1 species
UCGGUGCGACAAGCAAUCGCUAGAAAUAGAGGAAAGUCCGAGCUGCAUUAAGACAGGGUUGCGUCUAACGGACGCCUAGCGUAAGCUAAGGGAAAGUACAACAGAAAGCAAACUGCCCAAAUUUGGGCGAUGGUGAAACGGUGGUGUAAGAGACCACCAGUGGGUCAGUAAAUACUAAGCUACCCAGCUUUGCAAACCCAACCCGCAGCAAGAAGAGAUGGUUUUUAGUCUUAAAAUAUAAAACUCUUCGCUAAAAUUUGAUUGCAAAAUCAAAAUGAGAUAAAUGAUUGCCCAAACAGAACUCGGCUUAUAGUCGCACCAAAUAA